rnacentral:piRNA from 1 species
UUUUCGUGGUGCGUGGAAACAAACAUA